UCCCAGGAGCUCCCGCGGCCAGUGUCCAUUCCGUGUCGUGUUGCGCCUGCGCCGUCGGGGGGCGGCCUCGGCGUGAGGCGGCGGCCAGUGCCUUUUCCAGGGAACAGCAUCAUGAAAUAGCCAGAGCUGGUUUUCAAGGACACGAGUGACCGUACCCGGGCUUCGAUGGACGCCCAGCACAGCAACACGGUUAAGCUACAGAGCCAGAUGGGCGGAGACCUGUGACCCACCACUGCGCCGUGCAGCCUGCGUCUGGUUACUUCACCUGCCUAUGCCCCAGAAGGGUGUGGAUGAAAAUGCCUGCCUUGUGAAGAAUUCUCGGGCAUUACACAAACAUGAUACAUUGAAAGUACUGUUCUGGUGCCUGGUACCUGGGAAGCUGUCAGGGAACUCUACCCAUUGUCAUCACAUCAUCAUCACCAUGCAGCGGGCGCCCCUGACUUGGGGAGGGAUUGGCUCUAUGGGACACCCCGCCUUUCUGCAGGUGAAGGUAAUAUAGCUGUUUCUCCCAGUCCCUGGGUUUAAAAAGAUGGUCAGAAGCUGAGGUGAUUCGUGGAUGAGAGUUGACCUCCCUUGGCAGAGAUGGGAAUGAGACCAAAAGAAGGGUAAAAAAACAGUGAAACGAGAGCCUUACGUUUCAGUACUGUCGAGAUCCAGACGGCAAGGAGGAGGCAAGCCAGCCGGCGGGUCAGUGGGCACCGACAGAGGCACAGGGAGGAGAGGGAGAGAAGUAUUAGUGACGCCUCCUUCCUGGCUCACCCCACCCCGCUGGUGCUCGGAAGAGACCCCCCAAGGAAGAGAGGCGGACAUCUCUUCCCGAUUCCGUGGGAAAGGGUGGAUGCCGCUCCGUGACUCCAGAGACACGUUUAUCCAGAGGCUAGAAUCCCCGGGCGCCUCUUUCCAUGGGAUUUCAUUCUCCAGAGAUUAUUAGAAGAACAUGCCCUGACACGCCACUGUUCUCCUUUCUCCCCUGGGGGUCAGGAGACAGAAAGUUUGAGGAAGAAGCAAAUAGCUGCUUUUUGGUUUUCCUGAUUCAUUCAGGAGCCCUCCCAGCAAACACAACUCGAUAGGUUCUCAUGUUCUGGGGCGGUGGGCCUCCGUCCCCGUCCCCGAGCGAAGCCCACACGGCCAGCCCCGCGCCGGGCCGCCCUCGCCGCUCCCCGCGGGCCGUGGAGCCCGGGCCCCAGAGAUGGGGCGGCAGAGGGAGCGUUUCUCUCAGCCUGUGCCCUAAACUGAGAUGACCUAUCGAAGAUCCCCUUCUCUUUCUUGUUUCCGCUUCUUCCCAGCAUCCAAAAAUAUCCACGGCAACCACAGAAAAGAAAAAUAACUUACUUUUCACUGGAAAGUGCGGCGGAACCGGCGGUCAAGGGGGUCGGCGUGGGAGAAAGUGAGCAAGAGAGUGGGGUCAACACUGCAUUCGAUUCAGUUAUUCCUUCAUCAGAUAUCUAAAAUUUAUUUUAAACUUUUAAUCAUGACUUUUAAAUUAAGUCAACCCAAAUGGCCUGAAGUGAGUUAGGCCCCAGGAGGUGACCCCGGCCUUGCUUGGUUUGCAAACACAAGCAAAACUUCACUCGAGAUAUUACAUGGAAAUGCCCACAUUAGAGAAAAACAGAAUUUAAGCGCAGCCAGUCAGAAGCAGCCAACAAACGUCGGCAAUGAGAGACUCUGCAGUGGGACAGACCAAACAUGGCAGCUGCAGGGCUGUCACCAGCUAGCACAUCUUUGCUUUACCUCCGUUGUCCUGUAAACCCGCCCCCUUGCGUUCCCUUGGGGAGACCUUGGAGCUGCCUGACAUGAAUUGUUCUUUGCUCAAAUAAACUCUUUAAAGUUU